rnacentral:tRNA from 1 species
GCCCGGAUGGUGAAAUAGGUAGACACAGCAGACUUAAAAUCUGCUGCGCCAUACUCGGCGCGUACCGGUUCAAGUCCGGUUCCGGGCACCA